rnacentral:rRNA from 1 species
UAGGGAAUCUACCGCAAUGGGCGAAAGCCUGACGGAGCAACGCCGCGUGAGUGAUGAAGGUCUUCGGAUCGUAAAACUCUGUUAUCAGGGAAGAACAAAUGUGUAAGUAACUGUGCACAUCUUGACGGUACCUGAUCAGAAAGCCACGGCUAACUACGUG